AUUUCUAAGCAGAAGGGCUAAUUCCUCAAAUCAAAGUUGGGCUCUUCGUUUAUCGGAUUUAUUAUCUCUCUCAAAUAUUUGGGGAGAUAAUUGUGGCUUCAUAAUUUCAUAUCUGGGUUUGUGGGUGAAGAACUUCAAGCUAAAAGCUGGGAAUUCCUUGAUUUUUUGGAAAAAAGGGAAAUCUUUCUCUCUCUCUCUCUUAAUCGAAAAACAUUAGGACAAUCUGCUACUCACCCUAGCUCGCUCAAUUCUAAGAGAAAAGGGGUCAUCAGAAUUUAUUUUCUUCAUGGGUUUGUGGAUAAUUUUUAUAGUUCUUUCCAGCAAAAUGAAAAAUAAAAAAUAAAUAAAGGGAAAACUACCCCAUCUAUCUGGAAUUCUGGGGAAGACGGAUAUCUACUUUCUCCUUUCUCGAUUUUUGUUGGGAUUUAUCUGCAAACCUUCUCUUAGAAAAACGGAGCUCCGAUCGGAUCUCACACGCAACGAAAGGGAGAAGAACAAAUCGGAAAAAAGGGCUCCACUAUUCGGGCAGUGUGCUGAGCACCACCACCGUGCAUGUCACCGGCAGCCUCGCCUGCUGCUGCUGCCUAGGGAUCGAACAAUCAAACAUCUCCAGAUGGCUUCCAUCGGUGAACAGGACUCCGCCGCCUUCUUCCAUGGCUGAUUGCCGCAGAGAAGCCGAAGAUUGGGGCGUUGCCCUAAUGUCAUUUAUCCAGAUGCUGAUGCAGAUGUAGAAUCUCCUAAUGUCGUUUCUCCAAAUGGAGAGGGAAUUGUUUGUUGGAGAAGAAGCUGCUCAAAGAGAACUUGCCUCAACAAUAAGGUCUUUGGUGAAGAGAAAAUGGUUACAAGUCAAAACUCAGAAAUGUUGUGAGGAAAACUCAGACAACUAUAAUGCAGUCUAGUUCGAUAGGGAAGACCUUCAUUUCUCAAAUCUCUUAAUUUAGUAUGCUCGUUUUACUCACAAUAUCUUAUGGGUUUGUUUAUUUUUUGGUAGUGCAAGUGUGCGGGGGUGUUGUGCAAAGCGUGAUUGACAACAGCCUUGUGACCUAUCCACGAGGUUCUAAACUGAGUGUUAUAUAAUAGCUCUGAAAAUGGGUUUUCAAGCCACAUGCCACCUUGUUCUGUGGCUGGAGUAUUGGGAAUCACAGCUUUGCCGCAACUUCUCGGGGCUUCUAGCCUUGCAUUUUGUUUGAAGAUAUUCUGAAGCAAAUCCACGUGACAGCACUAUAUUAUCCUGUGAGGGACUUAUGUUCUAGUCAUGGGGUGAGGCUGUGACAGCUCCGUUCGGGAUUUCUCGGCACACCGAAGAAUUUUCAGCCGAUGCGUGUUAUGUUGGAUUUGUAUACUGAAAGCAAGAACCUUUUAUGCUUGUAUACAAUGAUUCCUAUGUUCACUUUUUAAUCUC